rnacentral:lncRNA from 1 species
UUUCCUAAUCUAAUUGGGAUUUUAGCCCACCUGCACCUGUCCUAAAUUAUUCAUUUGGCCUUUUGGCCCAUCAUCACCUGUCCUAAUCUAAAUAUUGGAGUUUUGGCCCAUAACCUGUCCUAAACUAUCUUUUUGGACCCUUUAGACCAAAAUUUGUUUCACCUAUAUUAAUUUACAACUUUGGCUUCGAGGCCCCGAAUGAAUAAAUAAAUAUGUAACUAAAUGAAUAAAGACAAGUAAAGCAAUAAUAAAUAAAAAAUGUCAUGAGACUUUUCAAGUCUCUUAGCUACUUCAACAAUGGGUUUUUGACCAAUUUUCUUCUUCUUCCACAGUAUCGGUCUCUUUAUACAAGAAUGAUCAGCUAGAAGGGAUGGUCCGUCAUUGGCCCAUUAUGAAAUGUAAGGAGGAAAGGAGUCCGUUCAGACUCCAAAACAGAUUCACAUGCAAAAGAAGACAUAAAUGAAAUUAAUGCAUAUCCAAAGUGCAAAAAGAAAAGUAAAGACAGUAACCUAUAUUCGAAAGUUAAUACGUAACCGAUAAUGAUAAGAAAGGGCAUUCAUGCACAUAAAGAAACAGAAAUGUAUCCCGACAAGUUCCCAAUUUCUACAUUAGUCUGUAAUCUCUUCAUUUUUCCAUUCCAGGAAAAUUAUAGAAGUUACGAUAAGAAUCCUUUGGUAAACACAAACAUUAACUACUAGAUAUGUUAUCUCAAGAUUUAGGUAACUAAAGAACAUCAUAACCAAACUCAACAUUCUCCAUAAGUGAAGCAAACAGUUUGCACUUCCAAUAUUACACAGGAAAAAGAUUGCAUAAGGAACAAAGAUGCGAAUGAGUCAAUUCAGUAAGAAAAUCAACUUAGGAAAAUUUCGUUCGAUUUAAGAAAAUUAAACAAGUGUGUCGCGCUAAAAGAAAGAGAGGAGAACUGGUAACAAGGAUCAUAACUAUACUCUGCAAGGUAAACAAAUCAAGUGUCAUAUUAUUUAAAGGGGAGAGUUAACAAACUUGUUGACUAAAUUUCAACUAUUUUCAAUCACAUAGUGUACAAAUGGAAUCACAAAAUUUUCAGGAAGAGGCGAAACUAGAUUACUCGAUGAAACACAUGAAGCAAGCCAAAUUUUGGGAAGCAAAUCAAUUCACUGUAUUAAUUCAGAACACGAAGAAAUGGAUCAAAUAGAGCUGCUCGAUGGUGAAAGAUUAAAUCUAUGGAUAUAUGUGAUUCCAUAUUAUUGUUCAAAGAAAAUUAAAAGUAAAUUCAAAGCAUGACAUUUGCAGAUGUUAGGGACCAAGGCUUUAGUCCCCUUAUUAUCCCAAUAACGAUCUCUUUUGUUUCACCUAUACCACAACAUGCUAUAAACCCUCCUUCAAAAUAUGUUCAUUUAGGACAAAAGUUAAAACUUUAAUGUUAAUCAUUGCGAGGAAGUAAGAGAGAUAUAACAUCGUUAAGUCAUUCAUACACUAUUGAAUCUAUCAAAGAAAACCACAAUUUGCAAGACAGGGUUAGGAAAAAUACUCAAGAUGGAUAUUUUCGAAUAUUGAUCUAUCAUUCAUUUGAAGGAUAAAUUCUGGUGUUUCCUUUUGACAUUACGAGUCAAGGAAAAUAUCGUGAAGAGACCCCUUCUAACCAGAAAACAACAAGAGACAAGUGAGGCUAGACAUGCGUAGAACUUAAAACAUCUUUUGCAAAAUAUCAACCGAAGAGGAUAUAAAAUUCACAUCAUUCUAGGCUAACUAUUUCGAGCAAAAAAAUGCCAACAGAACAUGAUAACGUCAUAUCUAGAGAAGGUCAAAUAACUAUGAAUAAAAUAGAACAAAUCCUGAGCAGACCUGUGCAAAAUUCAUCAAGGCGCAAUUUUUAACAUAAGUAAUCAAACAGAUUAUGGUUUUGAACUCAACCAAACUGAUUUCACAGUCAACCCAUUCUUUACAUUUGUAGGAUAAGACGAAGGAAAAAAGUUUUUAAGAACUUAUAUUUUAGCAGUACACACAGUAAGAAGAAAAACGUAGCUUAAACACACAGAAAGAACAUUUCCAGCAACAGCAACUUACAGACAACACAAAAUAAGAACAUCAAAACAAGAAUCUCAUCGCAACCAAACCUACGGCUUUUGAGUCCUCUACACCAAGAAAUCCCAGCACACAAGGCUAUCGCAGAAGCUCCUACGACUAUAGAAUGACGAAAAGAAGAAGAAAGAAAACAGAAACUAAAAGGAUGUGAUAUUACCUUUUUUGGAGCAGCAAAACAUGACUUUAGGCUUCCGUCGGAGUUGAAACCACCACCGGAAAACGGCGCCGUCAAUUUGAGAACUUAGAUUAGUCGACGACUUUCACUAAAAAAUUUUAAAUAAACAAAAUAUUUCUCUUGUUUGCCUAAAAGUUUUUUCCUUCUCUUGUGACUUGAGAUUUUUAGCUCACAAUGAGCUUUUUAUAGGAAAACUUAAGGGUUGGUUUUUCGGGCCUCACCAAUGUGGGAAAAGGGAAAUCGGGGGCAAUUUCAAAAAUUUUUAAAGGGUUAUUUUUGAAUUUUGGAUGAUAACAGAAUUUUGGCUCCACCUUGUACUGAUUUUUGGAUUCUUUUGAAGAAAUUUGAAAUAGGUGAGCCAAUAGAAAUUAGGGAAAAAGGGAUUAUACACCAUAACCAAUAAAAUUCGCAUGAAUUUGUACGAAUUCAAUUGUUUGGGAGCCAC